rnacentral:rRNA from 1 species
AGAGUUUGAUCCUGGCUCAGGACGAACGCUGGCGGCGUGCUAAUACAUGCAAGUCGAGCGCAGGAAGCUAACCGAUCCCCUUUCGGGGGUGACGUUAGUGGAAUGAGCGGCGGACGGGUGAGUAACACGUGGGCAACCUGCCUGUAAGACCGGAAUAACCCCGGGAAACCGGGGCUAAUGCCGGAUAAUCUCUUCUCUCUCAUGAGGAAAGAGUAAAAGAUGGCCUUUGGCUAUCACUUACAGAUGGGCCCGCGGCGCAUUAGCUAGUUGGUGAGGUAACGGCUCACCAAGGCGACGAUGCGUAGCCGACCUGAGAGGGUGAUCGGCCACACUGGGACUGAGACACGGCCCAGACUCCUACGGGAGGCAGCAGUAGGGAAUCUUCCGCAAUGGACGAAAGUCUGACGGAGCAACGCCGCGUGAACGAUGAAGGUUUUCGGAUCGUAAAGUUCUGUUGUGAGGGAAGAACAAGUACCGUGCGAAUAGAGCGGUACCUUGACGGUACCUCACGAGAAAGCCCCGGCUAACUACGUGCCAGCAGCCGCGGUAAUACGUAGGGGGCAAGCGUUGUCCGGAAUUAUUGGGCGUAAAGCGCGCGCAGGCGGUUCCUUAAGUCUGAUGUGAAAGCCCACGGCUCAACCGUGGAGGGUCAUUGGAAACUGGGGAACUUGAGGACAGAAGAGGAGAGUGGAAUUCCACGUGUAGCGGUGAAAUGCGUAGAUAUGUGGAGGAACACCAGUGGCGAAGGCGACUCUCUGGUCUGUUUCUGACGCUGAGGUGCGAAAGCGUGGGUAGCAAACAGGAUUAGAUACCCUGGUAGUCCACGCCGUAAACGAUGAGUGCUAGGUGUUAGGGGGCUUCCACCCCUUAGUGCUGAAGUUAACGCAUUAA